rnacentral:rRNA from 1 species
AUGGCGGAUCGGGGCGGCAGCAAGUUCGGGGGCCGCGAGGGCGCGGGCCACGGCAACAUCGGAGGGGGGCGCACCCAGACCUCGUCCAACCAGGGGCGCAACCUGGUGUGGCAGCGCUCGAACCCUCCACCGCCACCUGGCGGCGCUAGAUCUGGAAGUGAGGCGUCGGGGAGUAGAUGGGAUGCGGCGACGAAGAUGCAAGGCGGGGGCUCCAGGGACCAGUGGCCUACCCACAAGACGGCGGCGAAGGAUGGAGAUCUGGCUCCACCACCAGCUCCGUCUGCUCCAGUCAGCAAGGGUGGGGAGGAGCGCUGCAUCAACUGCAACCUUCCAGGUCAUUUUGCUCCUCGCUGUCCUACCAUUCGAUGUGAGAAAUGUGGUAAACUUGGACACAUGGCGCAACUUUGCCAGAUCCCUCAACCCUGGGAAUGUGUUCCUUUCAUGUGCGGUUUCCAGUCCCCUGGGCAGGGAUUCUUCUUCAUCCCUGAUUGUUGCGCGGAUAAACAGGCCAAUGAGAAAACUAAUACUGUGGUGAUUACCUUGGUGGAGGGUGUGGCAUCUGUGAAAGAAAUUGAGACUGAGUUCAAUGGAUUUUUUGCUCAAAAACCUAAGAAAUGGCGUUGCACUGCACGCCAGAUCAGUCCCACGCAGUUUGUGAUGAGAUUUCCUAAUGCUCAUGAAGUUGAAAGAGCUUGCUGCUAUGGUAGGAGACUUCCUAUUCUGCAUGAUUCAGUCGUGGUGUCUAUUUCUCCUUGGUCGGCAUCGGUGGGUGCCAAAGCUGAUAUUCAGAAAGCCUGGGUUCGUGUUCGUAAUGUCCCCUUGGAGAAACGAUGCGUGCAACAUGUUUCAUAUGCUGGGGCGCUGGCGGGAGUCACUCUGGAGGUGGAUAAAGCGACUCUGCAUAAACCAGAGUAUGCUCGUAUACUUCUGGGGUGCAGGGAAGUGGAUAAAAUCCCACCGUCUGCUGAGGGAAUGUUGGGAGAAAAAUUCUAUGAUUUCUUCUAUGAAGUUGAACGUGUGGUGGUGGGUGCUCCUGAUGCGAGUCGGUAUUCAGUUCCUGUUGACAGUAAUUCUCCUUCUGUUCAGAAAAAGGCUAGAUUUGACUUCCAGGCGUCUACAUCAUACGAGCAAGGAGGGACUAGUGCUUCUGCUGCUGGAGAUUCCUUUUGCCAGAAUUAUUCUGCUACCACUCGGCUGUCUACCGUUUCUGAGAAUGAAGAGGAAGAAGAGAGUGUUGAAGGGAACCAUACCGAGCUCCUGAUACAUACUAUGGCUGAAGAGCAUGAAGCUUUGAACUCCCCUGGACAGAAUGAUGUGAGCUCAGAAAGCAAUCCUGUCAGGAAUGAGGAUGUACCCCUGGAUGGCUCACCCAGUCAUAAGGAGAAGCUGAACUCAGGUGCUUGGGCUUUGACUCCUAUCCCUCCCUCACCUGCCUUUUUGGGUUAUGAUGGAAAAGAUGAUGUGAGUACUAUUCCUCGUUUGUCAGACUAUGUGGCAUGGCCUAAUAUGCCCCGGGUUGUUGAGCUGGAGGAGGGAUCGAAGGAAGGUAGCGAGACUCGCAGUCUAUAUAUUGUUGAGUCUCCUACUGGAUCUCCUAUCCAUGAAAAGCUGCAUGUGUCUCCUGGACCUGAGGGUUGCAAUCAAUAUCAAAAGCUCACUAGGGUGGAUGAGAGGGCUAUGGAUCGCAUGAAGAAGCGCAACUUUGAAGGUCUUCUGAAAGGGAUUGAUAAGGAAAGAGUCCAGGCUGGAGUGCAGAAGAUGGUGCGCGUGGCUGCGUCUUUGGCGGACCGUUCUACUCCCAGGGGUAGGCUCAUGCUGGGGAAUGGCGCGGGAGCUUGA